rnacentral:piRNA from 1 species
UAGCAGUGUUAGAGGUGUGAGAAGUG